UGCAAGCAGAUUCUUUACCAUCUGAGCCACCAGGGAAGCCCCUCUUAUCUUGGGUGCAUAUAUAACAAUUGUUAUAUCUUCUUGGUCUCUCUGUCAUUAUAAAUGUCCUUCUUUGUCUCUUGUUAGUCUUCAUUUUAAAGGUUUGUGGGAGCCUGGCAUAAGUAUUGCUACCCCCUCUUUGUUUUGAUUACCACUUGCAUGAAAUACCUUUUCCCAUUUCCUUUCUGUCUGUGUGUGUCUGUAGUCAGAAGUGUGUAUCUUAUAGGCAAUGUAUAUAUAUUGGGUCUUGUUUUUCUAUUACUCAGCCACUCUUGUCCUUUGAAAUUGGAGGAUAAUUGCUUUACCAUGUUGGUUUCUCCUAUAGCAGUUAAGAAUCAGCCAUAAGUAUACAUAUGUCCCCUCCUGUGAAACCGCCCUCCCACCCUCCACCCCACCUCACCGCUGCUGGUUGUCACAGAGCACCAGGCUGAGCUCCCUGAGCUCCCUGUGGUAUACAGCACCCCCCUUAGCUGUCUGUCUUACACACAGUCAUAGGUUUCAGUGCUCCUCGGCCUGUCCCACCCUCUUCUUCCCCUGCUGUGUCCACAGGUCUGUGUCUUUCUCAAUGUUCCUGUUCUGCAAAUAGGCAUGUCAGCACCAUUCUUGUAGAUUUCCGUGUGUGUGUGUGUGUGUGUAAUAAUAUGUUUCUUUCUGAUUUACUUCACUCUGUAUAGCAGGCUCUAGGGUUAUACACCUCACUAGGACUGACUCAAAUGUAUUCAUUUUUAUGGCUGAGUAUUCCAUUGUAUAUGUACCACAUCUUUAUUCAUAUGUUGACAGACAUCUAGGUUGGUCCCAGGUCCUGUUGUAAACAGCCCUGCAGUGGACAUUGGGGUACAUUUAUCUUUUUGAAUGAUGAUUUUCUCAGGGCAUAUGCCCAGUAGUGGGAUUGCUGGGUCAUAUGGCAGUUUUAGUUCUAGUGUUUUUUUUUUUUUAAUAAAUUUAUUUAUUUUAAUUGGAGGUUAAUUACUUUACAGUAUUGUAUUGGUUUUGCCAUACAUCAACAUGAAUUAGUUCUAGUUUUUAAAGAAAUAUCCAUCACUGUCUUUUGAUUGGAGCAUUUAGCUCAUUAGUUGUUUGGGGAUUGUUCUCGUAGUUCUUUUUUGUUCCUCUUCCUUCUUUUGUUUUCUUCCCUUGUGAUUUGAUGACUGUCUUUAGAGUUAUGAUUCCUCUUUUUUUGUGUGUAUGUACAUUAUUUUAUAUAUGUUUCUAAUCUCAUAACUUCAGAUGCAUUGUAACUAACCCUGCAUUUUGCUCCUCUCCCUCAACAACUACCAGUUUUCAUAUUUUAAAUAUUUAUAUAACCAGUAACUACUUAUUGAGGAUACAGAUGGUUUUACUACUUUAACCUCCUACUAGCUUUGUACAUGGUUAACACAUUAUUGACUAGAGACACAUUAAUAUAUCUUUUGUUACCCAAAGGUUAUGGACUGACCAGAGGCAUUUCAGCACUUACUUACAUAACCAAUCACCAGCCACAGGCAUUAGUUUCUGCAGAAUUUCCCUGGUCAGUAAGGUGUUAAUUUACUGACUUUAGCAGCGAGCUUUUUCCUUUCGUGACUCUCAUUUUUCUCCUCCUAGCCUUUUCUUUUUCACUUAGAGAAGGUCUUUUAACAUUUCUUAUAAAGCUGGUUUUGUGGUGCUUGAACUCUUUAAAUAGCUUUUGCUUGUCUGUAAAACGUUUGAUCUCUCCAUCAAACCAGAAUGAAAGCUUUGCUGGGUGGAUUAUUAUUAGUUUGUAGGCUUUUCCCUUUUAUCACUUUAAAUAUAUUGUGCCACUGCCUUUUGUCUUGCAGAAUUUGGGGGCCUGUCCACUGGGUGUGUGAGGCUGGUCCCAAUAAGAGUAUUUUUAUAAUUUAUCGAUUAACUAUAAAGUAAGUCAUGUAUAAGUAGCAUCCAGAUCAGUGGAAUAUUGUCUGACCCCUCAGUAAUGCCUGACAUUCUUCAGAGACCCUCUUGCUCACCCCCAGAGAAAACCACUGUCCUGGUGUUUGUCAUGUAUGCUGUUAAGCUUGCCUUCUCCCUUGAGCCUGUUGAAUUUGAUUCCUUAUAUUUAGCUAUUAUAUAGAGAAAAGCAAUAGUCUAGUAAUGAAACAGGUAAGAUUUCAAUUGAUCAAAAACAUCUUUCCCUUCAGUAAACUUUUUUGAGUAGCUCCUGUGUGAGGCGUUAUACUUGCUGUUGAAACUCAAAGUAACAUGCUGGACAAAGUAAAAGGUAAGUGACAUGAUGAACGAGAUGUGCAUGAUAUAAUAGGUAUAUAUUCAAGACUGACUAGAGGAACUUUUUUUUUAAGGGUCAGCUCAUUUUGUGGAUAAAAAUUACCGUAAAAGAGGGCAAUCUGUCUGAAAUGGGCCUUGAAAAGAGGAAUAAGAAAGCUGAGGGGAAGUGGUCUAGAUCAGAAUGAACUCAAGACGGGGACCAGGGCUGUGACUAUGUGGAUGGAAAUUAUGGGAUGGGUUGAAGAGACAGGCUCUUAGUGGCUGAUGGGAAGGGGAGGUCAUUUAUCCUAGGAGAGCUCAGCUAGUCUGGAGGACAGAAUGUGAGUUUGGUGUUGACAUGCUGUGUUUGGGACACCAACGAGACACUCAGGUGGAAUGGCUGGCAUGUGGUUGAUAUUCAGAUGAGUCUGGGCAGAGUCUAGGAUAGACCUGGAAAUUUAAGGGUCAUUAGCAAAUUAUUCGGUAACUGCUUACCAAAUAAUUGGUAAUUUAUUCUAUAUGAAAGACUAACAAGAUUUUUCAGAAGGAACAUAUGAAGUGUGACAGAAGAAACCUAGGGACCACCACAGUGCUGGUGAUAGGUGGAGGAUAACAGCCGAUGGAAGUGAAGAGGGCUGGUCAGAGUAGAGAGGAGCAGGAGAGGGAACCACAGAGGCCCAGAGCGAGGGGAGCAUUAGGGAGGUGGGGUGAAGUGCCACACCCUGCCUUCCUCUCUGACACAGGCAGGCUCCUCCUCACAGAGAGCAAGCACAUUUCCUGUUCUCCUCAGCCUGACUGGUGUGUGUUCAAGGGUGCAACAUAGAGUGAUUAAAUGCAGACCUGCCUGGACUGGCCAAAAAGGCCCAAUGGAAGCCCGGUGCAGGAAGCGGUCAGUGCCAAGUAAUGCAGAAGCCCAGAGGGGGUCCAAGGUGGGGGCUUGGGAGUGUGGAAUCUGUGUCAGAGCCUAGGUAGUGAGAGCGGUAAUAAAAAGAAGACAAAGUUGUUACCCAUUUGCCCAACCUCAGACUGGGGAGAGGAUUCUCCCGAGUGGCACAGGCUAAGCUGUGGGCGCAGGAGGCACCCUGCAUGGCUCCCCUCACAGCGCCCUGCUGCAGUUCAGGACACAGUUCAGGACAAAGCCCCCACCUGCGCUCUCCACGGGACGUCACCAUCUGACGCCCAGACACACUGUGGGCUGACCCUUGGGCCGACCCGUGGCUGUCAGCACCCGCAGUCGGUAUAAACCAAGCACUGGAUGCUCUAUUCUGGCCAGUGCUCUUUUGCUUCCAGGAUCCUGUUGGGAGCAUGGUGUGUGCCAAAUACAAGUUUCCAUCUCUCCAAUCACUCCCCCCUCUAGUGCCUGUGCUGCUGGGUGCUCGUGGGAAUUAAAGGCAGAUCUUACCUCAAGGCAGAUCUUACCUCUGAGGGACUGAAUUUUCAUUUCUGUUUUCCUUACUCAAAUACUCAGUUUGAUCCACUGUAAAUGUAAUUACUUCCUACUUUUGGAAAGGGCCUCUGAGAGGAGGUACAUUUAAAAGUAUAUAGAGGCAUCACCAGCUGUAGGGCAGCCCUGGCCUCCCCCUGAGCUGUGCCGUCUCCCGGAACUUUGUGCUUCUGGACUAGGGUUCAUAUACUGCAGAGCAGUAACUGCAGUAAAAAAAACUUGAGAGAGGCUUGUAAGGGAAGACGUUUGGAGGAAGGAAGAAUUGGUUCCCCUCCACAUGGAGAGUUUCACGAGGGCUUCUUGCCAGAAGGUGCUGCCCCCAGAGGAUGUCCAGACAUGAGGCCCAGCCCUUCCACUGGCGCAGCUGCUGGCGCUCGCCAGCCCAGAACAGAAGGCAGCGCUGGGAACUCUGCCGCCUGACGGGGGGUCACCCUGUGCAGGAAGUGAGACCUCACGACUACAGCACAGGAGCGCGAGGCUGGGGGUGGACACUGCAGGGAGCCGUCAAAAAUGGUUCGAACUCUCUGGUUGAUGUUUCAGCAAAGCACAUAGCAUGUAAAUUGGUGCAGCCACUACGGAAAGCAGUGCAGAGGUUCCUUGAACUAAAAAUGGAGUUACCAUAUGAGGCAGCAAUCCCACUCCUGGGCAUGGAUCUGGAGAAAACGAAUUCAAAAAGGUACCUGCACCCCAGUGUGCCCUGCAGCACUGUUUACAAUGGCCAGGGCAUGGAAGCAGCCUAGACGCCCGUCAGCAGACGCAUGGAUAAAGAUGUGUGGGGUGGUGCGUGUGUGUGUAUAUUUACACACAAUGGAAUACUACUCAGAAUAAAAAAAGAAUGAAAUAAUGCCAUUUGCAGCAACAUGGGUGGACCUAGAGAUUAUCAAGUCAGACAGAAACGUAUAUCACCUAUAUAUGGAAUCUAAAAUAUGGUACAAAGAAACAGAAAUAGGAACUUCCCUGAUGGUCCAGGGGUUCAGGCUCCAUGCUCCCAAAGCAGGUGGCCCAGGGUUUGAUCCCUGGUCAAGGAACUAGAUUCUACAUGCUGCAGUGCAGCCAUAAUUUUAAAAGUGUGCACACAGAAACACUCUCUCAGACAUAUAAAACAGACCUGUGGCUACUGUAGGAGAAGUGGGGUGAGGGACGCAAGUUUGGGAUUAACCGUAUAUACACAUUACUAUAUAUAGUACAGUGAACUAUACUCAGUAACUUGUGAAAACCUCUAGUGGAAAAUAUGAAAGAAUAUACAUAUACACAGAUAUAGGACUGAGUCACUGUGCUGUAUACCAGAAAAUAACGCAACAUUGUAAAUCAACUGUGUCAAAAAAGGUUUUGUUUUUUGUUUUUUUCCAAAAAAGUCUUUUAAAAAAGGAGACAGGUUAGAACAGCCUUCAAGAAAGUAACAAAAGUAAGGGCCCUUUCAAAAGCACUGUUUCAACAGGAUUGUUUAUGUCCUCAGCAAAGUUACAAACGGGAACUCCCAACAGCCAGUUCCUCUUAGCUUCCUCAGAUCAGAACCUCCGUGGUCACUGCCCCUAGAACCAAGCAGCCCGGCUGAACCAAGUCACCCACUACAGGCUGGAAUGGAAGCCUGGGGUGGCAUUGAGGAGGGGCAGCAGGAAGUGCCUGGUGACUGUGGCCAGUGGCUUACAACUUUUACCUUCUCUUUAAAGAAGCAACGUUCGGGCUGGCUUAGAGGGAGUCAUGCAGACUACAGCAGACAGAACUCAUGCCUUGUGCCAGGAAUCAUCCCCGAUGAACCACUCUAAAUGUAAAGCAAACCACCAAAGUUCUAGAAGUAAGAACAGGCGAGUAUUUUUUAUUUAACCUCAGUAUCAGAGCAAAAGCAGGAACCAUAAGUGGAUUUCAACCGUGGGUGUGCAAGGAGACGAGCACACUGUCCUCCCACAGUGAGGACACAGCAUGGCAGCUUCUUCUUGGACGAGGAUGGGGCCAGUGGUCACUUCAGUGGGGAAGCCAGGACUCAUUUCAGAAAAAGCAGCAAAAUGAAAAGACAGGAAUCUGUCCGAGGGAGGUCCCAGUCAGGUGUGCCAAGCACAGGGUGCAACAGUGAGCAGCGAGACCACGGGGCAGCACUUCAGCGAGUCACGGAUGGACUGCCAGCUGCCCACACUCGUGGACGCGGGAGGAUACGUGCAGAGCCAGCUGGCACUCAGAAAGGUGUGGUGCCAGCCCCUCGCCUCUGCCUGCUGUGUCCAUGCUGAGCACAGAUCUCAGGAGUCCUCGUCUCCUGCUGGAGGUGUAAAGGGUUUUGUCUCUGAUACUUACUGUGCACACGUGGUCCAUCUUGUGGCGGGCACGGUGGCCUUGGCUUACAUGGCCUCGGCUUCCGGGACAGGAGGGCAGAGUAGCAGGGCCUUGAGCCCACCUCCUCUCAUGAGCACACCCAGGCCACAACUGCCUGCUGAAUAGCCAUCAGUAAAAAAGACCAGAACCUAAAAAAGAUACUCCACAACCAAAGUCAAAGGAGGAGCCUCAAUAAGACAGGUAGAGAGGUACACUAGCAAUACACUUAAAUCAUAUCCCCAGUGGUCAGGCCACAGUUUACACACUGCAGAGGUUCCCCCGGUAAGAGUGAGCGCUGAGCCCCAGGUCAGGCUCCCCAGCCUGGGGCUCCAGCUUUGGGAAGAGGAGCCUCCAGAGCAUUUGGCUUUGAAAGCCAGCAGGGCUUAGCUGGAACGCCACUCUCACAGGGUGCACACAAAAUCUGACAUGCAAACAGGACUAUAAGCGAGAAUUUUCAUGUUUAUAGACACGCAGUGCAGUGCCCAUCGGUGAUGGUCCAGCCAGGUGCUGCCCCAGAAGCAUCCUCAGGUAACAGAAUGACUCAGGCCGGGUUUCAUGUUGUCAGUUGUUUAUUAUUUGUCAUUCUAAAGACUCGCACAUUUAUAGCAUACAUGGCUUUGAAUGAGCUAAGAAUAUAUAAAACAGUAACUAUAUGCUUAUUAAUACUGUCCAAAACAAAUAAAUAAAAGUACCUUAAUGCACUAA